CUCAACAGUAUUUGGUGUAACGCGUUACUACGUAACUACGUACUAAGUCACAUGUAACUGUAAGUAAAUUAAUUUUCCAACAAAAAACAUUAAAGUAAGGGAUAACGCUUCAUUUUUAUGUGAUAAAUUCAUACAUAUAAAAUUUAUAUCAGGAAUUGAUAUAUUUCUGUAAAGCUGCUUUGGGACAAAGCAAAGGGGCAGUGGUGGCUUGAUGGUUAAGGCUCUGGGUUACUGAUCAGAAGGUCGGGGGGUUCAAGACCCAGCACUGCCAGGCUCUGGGUUACUGAUCAGGAGGUCGGGGGGUUCAAGACCCAGCACUGCCAGGCUCUGGGUUACUGAUCAGAAGGUCGGGGGGUUCAAGACCCAGCACUGCCAGGCUCUGGGAUACUGAUCAGAAGGUCGGGGGGUUCAAGCACUGCCAGGCUGCCACUGUUGGGCCCUUGAACAACCCUUAACCCUCUCUGCUCCAACAUGUUGGGAUAUGCAAAAAAAAAAAAGAAUGUCACUGUGCUGUAAUGUAUAUCUGACCAAUAAAGACUCAUCAUCAUUAACGUCCAUUGUUAAAAGCGCUAUACAAAUAAAAAUGAAUUGAAUUUGUCAUUUUAAUUACAAUUACUUAUGAUGCAUUGCAU
ensembl:lncRNA